AUGGUGGUGCCGAGGGACGCGACGCUGCAGUUCGACUACACGCGGGUGUUCCAGCAGGUGGUACGAGCGGGGCAGUCGGUUAUCAUCGAGGAGUGCGAGGAGGAGCAGGUGGAAUCGCCGCACGCCAAGGACGCGCUCCCGGGAAAGGAAAAGGAGAAGAAACUACCUCAAGUUAAGGUGAGACCCAGGCCUGAAAAGGGGAAAUCGCUCUGGAGUCGGCUCAAGAACAAGGAGAAGAAACUACCUCAAGUUAAGGUGAGACCCAGGCCUGAAAAGGGGAAAUCGCUCUGGAGUUGGCUCAAAAACAAGAUUUUUCGUAGAGAAGGAAGGCAAAUAUGUUCAGAACAUGUGAAGCACCAGAUUUUUCGUAGAGAAGGAAAGCAAAUAGGUUCAGCACAUGUGGAGCACCAGACACGUCCCAUCAAUGAAGUAAGGAAUCGUUAUAUGGUUUCUUCUUACGAGGCGAACCAUCUUGAUGCCUAUUCGGAAAUUAGACUGGUGAUUGGAGAUGGGGAGUGUUUCUACAGGAGCUUCAUAUUUUCCUACCUAGAGCAAGUUAUUGAUAGGCAGGACACAGAUGAGGAGCAUCGUCUCCUUGAUGUUGUUGAAAGAAUGUCUGUGCAACAUGCAAAUCUUGGAUGGAACUCUGAGUUUUCCAGGACCAGCAGAGCAUUUAAGGAGCUGAUUGAGAAAGUAAUGAGAUGGAAGGGCACGGAAUCAACUAGCAGUUGCCGUAAAGAGGAACUUCUCCAGUUCUUCAGCACGUAUGAUGAGACGCAAGACAUUUUUGCUUUCCUCAGAUUACUAGUAGCUAUCCACAUAUGCUCGCACAGUGAGGAUUAUGUACCGAAUAUACCAGAGGUCGACCAAGGAAAUUGCAGUCUGGAAGUUUGGUGCUUCGAGCAGGUCAUUCCAGCUCGUGUGGACGCGGACCAUGUUAUGUUGGUGGCUUUGGCCACAGCGCUUGAGGUCCCCCUCAGAGCGGAAUCAUUCCAACAAGGAUAUGCUCGAGAUAUCUACACUGGUCCUGGAUUUCCCCGUCCGAGUGUGACCCUGCUGUACACGGGAAAUCACUACAACAUCAUCUACCCACGUGCUCCUUCUGCUGAGAGUUCAAGUCAUCAGGCUUCCAAGAGAGAAGAUCCUGCUGAUCAGAGUUCAAGUCAUCAGGCUUCCCAGAGAGAAGAGCCUGCUGGUCAGAGUUGA
rnacentral:rRNA from 1 species